rnacentral:lncRNA from 1 species
GGUAAUCAAGGUUUGUGCUAAGUGCUUGGGGUUUCCCGAAAGGGAAAGCCGCAUGUAAGCUUGUCCCGUGGAAAUGGAUUAAGCUUUCCUGGUAGCAUCCCUACCUUCCUUUAAGCUCGAUCGUAUGGGGCGAUGUCUCUACGCUAGGGACCCUAGAGGAGAAACCUCUCCGUGUGUCGUUCUCGUGUUAGCCCGUGUAGCGGCGUUUGAGGAGAACCCUGUGUGCGCAGAGAAGUGUUCCCUUCAGGUGGAACUGCCUGGGGAGACGGUAGAGCCUGAGUCCUGUGUGAGCGUGGCUGGGGACGGUGAGGCUGCAGGCCGGGCUGGCCUGGUUCUGAAGCGAGCCAGCGAGGCAUGCGGUGAGUACUGAGUAGGACUGUCACAAGCAUAGCAGCACGUCUGGCUGAAUCUUCGGUAUCGGCAACCCGCAAAGAUCCUGAGAAUAGACUUAAUUAAGGAAUAUACUGUUGGAGGUAUGCCCUAGAGGCAAUCAUAGAGAUGAUGAUAUUCCAUUUGUAUCCAUGAUUUGUAUAUUGUGUUCAUUGAAUAUCCAUUAAAGGCUACUUGAAUUGAUUUGCAAUUAUGUGAAUUGUAUGUGAAACUCUUUACUAGUAUGGUUAUUCUAAUGUUUUCCCUAGUCGGAGUUCAUGUGAGGACACACAUGAAUAUUAGACUAGCACAUGUAUUAGUUGAUGACUAUGUUUCACAAGUCAUGGACAUGGAGAUGUUGAACUAAUAAUGUGGACACAUGUGGAGACAUGUGUUAGGACUGACCCAACACGAGAAGUAGUUCUCUCUUUAAACAACAUAUACGCUUUGUCCUUAGACCUGAGAUUGUCGCAUGUAUUCUAGAUGUGGAUCGACCUACUUAGGGGCUAUCAAACGCUACGCCGUAAUAGGGUAGUUAUAAAGGUAUCUUUCGGGUUUGUCAAGAAGCAUGCUAUGAGACAUGGUCACUCAAGAUGGGAUUUGCCCCUCUCUGAUUGAGAGUGAUAUCUCUGGGCCCCUCGAGUGAUCGGAUCCGAAAAUGCAUGGCCAUGCUACGUACGGUUAAGAGUUAACCUACAAAGGGAUUCCGAAUCACAGGAUCGAGAAAGAGCGGUCGGCUUGAAGCUAGACCAAAUAUCGUGAGGCAAAGGGAAUAGCAUGUAUAUUAUGUUAUGAUGGUUCGUCUGAUAUGAUCUUCGUGUGCGUAUAGGAGUUGGCACGUCUUGCUAGAGGCCGCUACCGACUAUUGGGCCGAGUAGGAGUACUCGGGCCAUGUCUAUACGUAUCCGAACCCAUAGGGUCACACACUUAAGGGGCUGGAAGCCCAAUUCGGAUCUGAUCCGAGUUGGAUUAGGUUUAGGAGUACUAAUGGGCCUCGGAUCCAGAGGCCCAUCAGGAACCUCUAUAAAUAGAGGGGUGGGGGCGCCCUAGGGUUUACACCUUUUGGCGAAACACACCUGCCGCGCCUCCCACGCCCUCGCCUGUUGCAACUCGCGGAUCUAGCAGUCCGGCUUGCGACGCUUCCUCCCUGCACGUGUGGAUACCUUGGAGGUGUGCGCCUGCAGCACUUGGACGAGCCAUCGACGAGCCGCCGACGAGCCACGACGAGCCGACGACGAGCCGCGGUACCGGAGGCGAUCUUGCUGCACGUGGACGAGUUGCUGAGGAGCUGCUGGACGUGAUCGACUACGUACGACUACGUUGAUCGACUACGUACGACUACGUGAUCGUCUUCAUUGCAUCGACGCAUAUCUACAUCUUCCGCACCAGUAGUGCGUCGAGUGGUAAUCCCGUGAUCCUUAUACGGCAGUUCUUCCUGGUUAUACGCGGUAGAAAUUUUGAUUUACGCUAAUGUAGCCUACCUCGUAUCCCAACAUAUACCUAAUAACGCACCCGCGCGUGCUCGUAUCCCCUGAAUGCGACCUCGAAUAGUAGCUCAAUAGUGCGUAAUAGUGAGUGAAUAGUGGCUGAAUAGUGCCGCCACCCAUAGGUGCUCCAUCCACUCCCGGUGAGUGCUCGGGCACUAUUCAUAUUCCCGAAUUUGAAUAGUGAGCUGAAUUUAAAUAGUGCCGCGAAUUUGAAUAUGAAUAGUGCCCAAGCACUCACCGGGAGUGGGUGGAGCACCUAUGGGUGGCGGCACUAUUCAGCCACUAUUCACUCACUAUUGCGCACUAUUGAACUACUAUUCGGGGUCGCUUUCAGGGAUACGAGCACGUGCGGGUGCGUGAUUAGGUAUAUUCCUUAAUUAAGCCUAUUCUAAGGAUCUUUGCGGGUUGGUGAACCUGAAGAUUCAGCCGGUCGUGCUGCUAUGCUUGUGACAGUCCUACUCGGUACUCACCGCAUGCCUCGCUAGCUCGCUUCAGAACCAGGCCAGCCCGGUCUGCACCCUCACCGUCCCCAGCCACGCUCACACAGGACUCAGGCUCUACCGUCUCCCCAGGCAGUUCCACCAGAAGGGAACACUUCUCUGCGCACACAGGGUUCUCCUCAAACGCCGCUACACGGGCUAACACGAGAACGACACACGUAGAGGUUUCUCCUCUAGGGUCCCUAGCGUAGAGACAUCGCCCCAUACGAUCGAGCUUAAAGGAAGGCAGGGAUGCUACCAGGACAGCUUAAUCCAUUUCCACGGGACAAGCUUACAUGCGGCUUUCCCUUUCGGGAAAUCCCAAGCACUUAGCACAAACCUUGAUUACCUUACAAACCGAGGGACGAGCUCCAACGGCCUCCCUUUAUUCUAGUGGUGGUAGUAUAGAGGUGGAGUAAUAUAGCGGUAGAUUCUAAAGUAUGGUGGCUAAUUCUUUCUCUCUCAGAGAGUGGUGGUGGAUGUCUUCAUGAGUGGAGUAUGAGUGGAGGUCUUCGGUGGUGGAGUGUGUCUUCGUGAUUCUUGGUGAUGCUCUGGUUGUGAUCUGGUUGAUGUCGUAGUGUGGUGCCUCCAAUGCUUCACCCGGUACCUCCUUUUAUAGUGGCGGCAGAGGCUUCUGGAGUUGCUUCGUGCUUAAGGCUUCUGGUGCCUUCAACUAUUCUCCUCUUCUGUUGCCUGGACACUUGGAUGGCUCUCCGCUCCUCAAUAAUUGUCCUGGAUACAGCAGAGUUGCUGUUUAUUCUUUUUGCCUUGUCCUCUAUCGCGUACUGUCUUCUCGUGAUAUUCCGGAUGCUGCUUGGUAUGGUCUUCCACGCCCGAAUGAUUGACGUCGCAAACUUCAAUCAGAACAUCAUGGCAUGUAGUAUUAUUCUGCCCCGGCCGAAUUGUUGUUAACACCUUAACAACACUGGAGACCUAUUCCCUUGUGUGAUAAAAUAUUCUUUUAUGCGAGCUGUAUUUCUUAUUCUUCUUCUUCAAUAUCCGGUUCCUUGGUUGUAUUGGACGAGGGGAUAAUAUGAUCAAGGGCGAGGGAACGAGCGACUCCGAAAAAUUUCGGAUUUCAAAUUUCGAGUUACUAUUCACAGUACUAUUCAAAUUCGGCGAACACUAUUCAAAUUCGCGGCACUAUUUAAAUUCAGCUCACUAUUCAAAUUCGGGAAUAUGAAUAGUGCCCGAGCACUCACCAGGAGUGGAUGGAGCACCUAUGGGUGGCGGCACUAUUCAGCCACUAUUCACUCACUAUUGCGCACUAUGGAGCUACUAUUCGGGGUCGCAUUCAGGGGUACGAGCACGCGCGGGUGCGUGAUUAGGUAUAUUCCUUAAUUAAGCCUAUUCUCAGGAUCUUUGCAGGUUGGCGAGACCGAAGAUUCAGCCAGUCGUGCUGCUAUGCUUGUGACAGUCCUACUCGGUACUCACCGCAUGCCUCGCUGGCUCGCUUCAGAACCAGGCCAGCCCGGCCUGCAGCCUCACCGUCCCCAGCCACGCUCACACAGGACUCAGGCUCUACCGUCUCCCCAGGCAGUUCCACCCGAAGGGAACACUUCUCUGCGCACACAGGGUUCUCCUCAAACGCCGCUACACAGGCUAACAUGAGAACGACACACGCAAAGGUUUCUCCUCUAGGGUCCCUAGCGUAGAGACAUCGCCCCAUACGAUCGAGCUUAAAGGAAGGCAGGGAUGCUACCAGGACAGCUUAAUCCAUUUCCACAUGACAAGCUUACAUGCGGCUUUCCCUUUCGGGAAACCCCAAGCACUUAGCACAAACCUUGAUUACCUUACAAACCGAGGGACGACCUCCAACGACCUCCCUUUAUUCUAGUAGUGGUAGUACAGAGGUGGAGUAAUACAGCGGUAGAUUCUAAAGUAUGGUGGCUAAUUCUUUCUCUCUCUGAGAGUGGUGGUGGAUGUCUUCAUGAGUGGAGUAUGAGUGGAGGUCUUCGGUGGUGGAGUGUGUCUUCGUGAUUCUUGGUGAUGCUCUGGUUGUGAUCUGGUUGAUGUCGUAGUGUGGUGCCUCGAAUAGUAGCUCAAUAGUGCGCAAUAGUGAGUGAAUAGUGGCUGAAUAGUGCCACCACCCAUAGGUGCUCCAUCCACUACCGGUGAGUGCUCGAGCACUAUUCAUAUUCCCGAAUUUGAAUAGUGAGCUGAAUUUAAAUAGUGCCGCGAAUUUGAAUAGUGUUCGCCGAAUUUGAAUAGUGCUGUGAAUAGUAACUCGAAAUUUGAAAUCCGAAAUUUUUCGGAGUCGCUCGUUCCCUCGCCCUCGAUCGUGAUUUCCCAGACUGGUAUCAGAGCCGAGGUUGUUAAAAUUUGUGUUUUUGAGGGUUUUUCUAUAUCUAGUCAAGAUAUUUGAAUUAGCUGUUACAACCUUAAGUAAGUGUUCUUGCUUUUAAUGGAAAGUUUAGUUAGCAAGAUUCAUCACUAUGAACAAAAGUUAAAUAAAAUACCUCAUGAAUAUAAUACCUCUAUGUUGAGUGAAUGGCCUGCUAUUAGAGAGAAAGAAGUUUAUUUUAUUAGGAUGUUAUAUAAGUUAAAAAAGGAUAAAGAUCUUUAUGACGAAAAAAUCAACUCUCAAUUAAUAAAAGAGCAAAAAGCUAAGGUGAAGUCAGUAGACCUUAAAAGCCAUAAAGCAAAAGAAGUUCCGCAAAAUGAUAUCAUGAAAGAUUCCACUAUUGAUAAAGAAGCCCAAACGAAGGUUAAUGAAAGUUAUCCUUUAGAAAGCUAUGAAGAAGAAGAAGAAAAUAAUGUGCAGAGUCACAAUGAUUUUAUAAACUCUCUUGGUGAAGAGGAAAUACAUAAUAUAGAAAAUGCUAUGGAUGCGCUAGAAAUAAAAGACGAAGAAACAAGUGAUUUGAAAGAAGCUAGAACUGAAUUAAUGGAUCCAGGAGAUUGUGAGCAUGAUUGGAUAAAAGGAAGAGGUGAUUAUAAUAUCAAGUGUGCUUUUUGCAUAUAUUAUCCUAGUCAAGAUAAUAGAUUUACUUGUAGUGUAUGUUUAAAACAAGCAUGUGCUUCAUGUUUAAGGAAUGCUAAUCAGAAAUGGAGACGAGAAAUAGAAAUAAUAGCAGAAGAUAAAAUACUAGCAAGUAGAGUUAGAAAUUUAGAAAAUUGAGUAAAUAUCUUAGAAGCUGAGUUGGAAGAUCUAAGUAAAAUAGAAUUUAAUAAUAAUAAGAUUGAAGGAAAUGUUAGUGGCAACACUGAGUUUAAAGAUCAAGCCAUAGUUGAUAAAAAUAAUGAUAAGGCUAUACAAUUAAAAGAUGCUAUAAUUAAUUUUGGCAGCAAAUACAUAGUUAGAUUACCAUUUAAAGAAAUUGUAGGAAUAAGGAUACCUGUAAAAGUAAAAUUAACACCUACCAUCACUUAUAAAAUAUUAGCAUUAGUAGAUACUGGUUGUACAAAAAAUAUUAUACAUGAUAAAUAUUUUGCAAGAUGCCCAGAGAUAGUACAUACAAUAGAUCAAGAUAAAGUAGAAAUAUCUACUGAUAUGUCAGGAAUAAAAAAGCUUCAUAACCAGUUAGCUUAUAAUAUUGAGAUACAAAUAAAUAAUACAAAAUAUAUAAUGGAUGAGAUCACAAUAAGGGACUUAUCCAUGCUAAAUGAUGAUAUGAUAUUAGGAUUAAGGUUUUUACAGUAUUCCUUACAAACAACAAUAAGGGUAGAAAUUUUGAUUUGCGCUAGCGUAGCCUACCUCGUAUCCCCACAGGAGUGUGUCUUCGUGAUUCUCUGGUGGUGAUCUGGUUGAUGCCGUAGUGUGGUUAUGCGGUGCCUUCAAUGCUUCACCCGGUACCUCCUUUUAUAGUCGCGGCAGAGACUUCUGGAGUUGCUUCGUGCUUAAGGCUUCUGGUGCCUUCAACUAUUCUCCUCUUCUGUUGCCUGGACACUUGGACGGCUCUCCGCUCCUUAAUAAUUGUCCUGGGUACAGUAGAGUUGCUGUUUAUUCUUUUUGCCUUGUCCUCUAUCGCGCACUGUCUUCUCGUGAUAUUCCGGAUGCUGCUUGGUAUGGUCUUCCACGCCCGAAUGAUUGACGUCGCAGACUUCAAUCAAAACAUCAUGGCAUGUAGUAUUAUUCUACCAGUAUUGGACGAGGGGAUAAUACGAUCAAGGGCGAGGGAACGAGCGACUCCAAAAAAUUUCGGAAUUCAAAUUUCGAGUUACUAUUCACAGCACUAUUCAAAUUCGGCGAACACUAUUCAAAUUCGCGGCACUAUUUAAAUUCAGCUCACUAUUCAAAUUCGGGAAUAUGAAUAGUGCCCGAGCACUCACCGGGAGUGGGUGGAGCACCUAUGGGUGGCGGCACUAUUCAGCCACUAUUCACUCACUAUUGCGCACUAUUGAGCUACUAUUCGGGGUCGCAUUCAGGGGAUACGAGCACGCGCGGGUGCGUGAUUAGGUAUAUUCCUUAAUUAAGCCUAUUCUCAGGAUCUUUGUGGGUUGGCGAGACCGAAGAUUCAGCCGGACGUGCUGCUAUGCUUGUGAUAGUCCUACUCGGUACUCACCGCAUGCCUCACUGGCUCGCUUCAGAACCAGGCCAGCCUAGCCUGCAGCCUCACCGUCCCCAGCCACGCUCACACAGGACUCAGGCUCUACCGUCUCCCCAGGCAGUUCCACGCGAAGGGAACACUUCUCUGCGCACACAGGGUUCUCCUCAAACGCCGCUACCAGGGCUAACACGAGAACGACACACGCAGAGGUUUCUCCUCUAGGGUCCCUAGCGUAGAGACAUCGCCCUAUACGAUCGAGCUUAAAGGAAGGCAGGGAUGCUACCAGGACAGCUUAAUCCAUUUCCAUGGGUCAAGCUUACAUGCGGCUUUCCCUUUCGGGAAACCCCAAGCACUUAGCACAAACCUUGAUUACCUUACAAACCGAGGGACGAGCUCCAACGGCCUCCCUUUAUUCUAGUGGUGGUAGUACAGAGGUGGAGUAAUACAGCGGUAGAUUCUAAAAUAUGGUGGCUAAUUCUAUCUCUCUCAGAGAGUGGUGGUGGAUGUCUUCAUGAGUGGAGUGUGGGUGGAGGUCUUCGGUGGUGGAGUGUGUCUUCGUGAUUCUUGGUGAUGCUCUGGUUGUGGUCUGGUUGAUGCCGUAGUGUGUUAAUUUUACCUUUACAGGUAUUCUUAUUCCUACAAUUUCUUUAAAUGGUAAUCUAACUAUGUAUUUGCUGCCAAAAUUAAUUAUAGCAUCUUUUAAUUGUAUAGCCUUAUCAUUAUUUUUAUCAACUAUGGCUUGAUCUUUAAACUCAGUGUUGCCACUAACAUUUCCUUCAAUCUUAUUAUUAUUAAAUUCUAUUUUACUUCUUAGAUCUUCCAACUCAGCUUCUAAGAUAUUUACUCUAUUUUCUAAAUUUCUAACUCUACUUGCUAGUAUUUUAUCUUCUGCUACUAUUUCUAUUUCUUGUCUCCAUUUCUGAUUAGCAUUCCUUAAACAUGAAGCACAUGCUUGUUUUAAACAUACACUACAUGUAAAUCUAUUAUCUUGACUAGGAUAAUAUAUACAAAAAGCACAUUUGAUAUUAUAAUCACCUCUUCCUUUUAUCCAAUCAUGCUCACAAUCUCCUUGAUCCAUUAAUUCAGUUUUAGCUUCUUUCGAAUCACUUGUUUCUUCAUCUUUUAUUUCUAGCGCAUCCAUAGCAUUUUCUAUAUUAUGUAUUUCCUCUUCACCAAGAGAGUUUAUAAAAUCAUUGUGACUCUGCAUAUUAUUUUCUUCUUCUUCAUAUCUUUCUAAAAGAUACCUUUCAUCAACCUUCUUUUGGGCUUCUUUAUCAAUAGUGGAAUCUUUCAUGAUAUCACUUUGCGGAACUUCUUUUGCUUUAUAUCUUCAGAAUUAAAAUGUUUUUGCCCAUUUUUUCUUAAUUUUGCAUAUAAUGGCCCAGCUAGUUUUGCUAAGUUUUCUAUGUAAUUUCUAGCAUAAUUUACUAUACCUAAAAAUUGCUGCAAGGUUUUCUUAUCAUUCAUGACAUCAGGAAAUUGCAAAAUUUUCUUUGCAAUAUGAUCUUGUAAAUAAAUUUUUCCCUCUCCUAUUUCAUGGCCUAAGAAAUUUAUCUUUUCUUUGCAUAUUUCCAUCUUCUUUUUAGAAAGUAUUAACCCAUGCUGCUCUACCUUUCUAAAGAACGUUUCCAAAUGAGCUAUAUGGUCUUUAUAAGAUUUUGAAAAAACUAAUAAAUCAUCUAUAUAAACCAAUAUGAAGUCUUGAUUUUCAUUAAAGAUAUUCUGCAUUUUUCUUUGAAACAGAGCAGGGGCAUUUUUUAGUCCUAAUGGCAUUACCAACCAUUCAAAAUGACCUUGAGGACAUGUGAAAGCAGUCCAACCUAUUGAUUCUUCUGCCAUUUUUACUUGCCAAAAUCCAACUUUUAAAUCAAAUUUUGAGAAAUAUUUGCUUCCUUGUAUUCUAUUUAUCCAUUCUUGCUUAUUUGGGAUAUUAUAUCCGUCAUCUAUUGUAUUAUCAUUUAAUCUUUUAUAAUUAAUAACCAUCCUUGACUUUUCUCUGGCUAUUUCAGCAUGAUUUCUAACUAUAAAGGCUGCUGACCUAUGGGGACUUCUGCUUUCAGUUAAAGUUCUAUGGGAACAAUGGGUAGAAACUUAUCCUCAUUAUUAUGAAGAAUUAAAAAGAGCUGGUAGCAACCCUUAUAAUUUUGCAAAUAUCAUAUCAAGUAUUGUUAUAGAUGAAGAUCCAGAAUUAGGUUAUACUGCAUUACAAAAUGAAAGAUUGAAGGAAAUAGAGAAAUUGACUUUAACAAAUUGGAAAGGAAUAAAAGAGUUCUCUCAGCAUUAUUUGUAUAACCCCACAACUGCUAAGCAAGGCUAUAAUAAGAGUAUAGUUGAAAGAUAUUUUAAUAAACUACCAGAUCCUUUAGGAUCUAUGAUAUUUGAAGAAUAUAAAAAGGAAUCUAAUGGAAGGGAAUAUAAUAUUUCUCAGGCUAUAACAUUUGUUUUUAAGCAACUAAGAAAAAUAUGCACAAGCAUACAAGCUCAAAGGUCAAUGAAGCAAUCAGAUUACAACUUUUGUAAUAAAAUAGUUCAAAUACCAUUGACAUAUGGAGAAGAGAAAUAUAGAAAUAAGAAAUACCCUAAAAAUUAUAAAAAGGGAAAUGUAAAAACAAAGAAAAGAUAUUUCCUAAGGAGAUCAGAUAAUAGAGCUCCUUUCCUUCACAAGAGAAAUGUAAGAAGAUAUAAUCCUAGGAAAAAUUAUGAUAGUACUUGUAGAUGCUUUAUUUGCAAUUCUCCAGAUCAUUUAAGUAAAACUUGUCCUAAUAAGGAUAAGAAGAGAUAUUCUAACAAGCAAGAAGAGCAAGAAAAGGUGUUAAUUAUAGAUAGUGUUAAUGAAAAUAUUUUGGUAUGUGAUGAUGAUAUAAUGGAUGAUGAAUCUAUAUAUUCAAUAAUAGAAACAGAUGAGAUUGAAUAUAAUGAAGAAGAUGAAUCGAGUGAUGAAGAGAUGAACUUGAUUGAGGAACUAGCAGGGUUAAAAAUAGAAAUGAUGGAUCAAGUAAUUCAGGAUCAUAAAAGAGAUGACGAUAAUAUAAAUUGUGUAUUUUGUAUAUAUUAUCAAGAUCCAGGAAAAAGGGCUACUUGUAGUUUAUGUAUAAAGCAGGCAUGUAGAUCAUGCUUAGAACAACCAAGUGACAAGAAAGUAGUCAAUACAAAAUGUGAGGAAAAUAAGAUCAGUCCGAAGGAGGACUCUUCAAAUGAUAAAAGAAAUAAUAAAUAUUUAACCAAUACUCCACACGAGUUUCUUAUCCCUAGGAUAAGUUUUAAGACUGAACAAGUGUUGGCAUAUUUUACACAAGAUAUUAUAGAUCUAAUAUGGAAGAAAUAUGCUGAAAGACAGUACAAAACAUUUCAGGAUAUACAAAAUUACUUCAUGAGGCUAUAUCAAGGUAUAGAAAGGAAUUUGGGAAUAAUAGUUAUUAUAAAUACCUUUCCUUUGCUUCAUCUUGAUGAUAAGUUAAUUGUUAAGCCUCAUCAUAAAUUUAUAAUACUUAAGGCUGAUAUAAACCUAAAAUAUUUUACAAAUAUACAAAGGCAUACAGGAGAAGAUAUUUCUUUACAAACUAUUAUUGAUCAUGGGUUAGUCCGAGAUAUUUAUGGAACAUUGGAGGAAAUACUUCAAUCUGAUUUAGGAAAGGCUAUUAAAGAAGCAUGCAAAAGAUUGGCGUGUGUUCAAGGAAAGUAUAAAAUAAAAUACUUUUCUAACCCACCAAAAUUUACACUACCAUUGAGACCAGCAAGUCAUGAUAUAUAUAUUAUAAAAGGUUCAUAUAAAUUCCCUACGAUAUGGUCUUCAGAAACAUGGUACAAUUAUGAAGAAAUACGUGCCAAAAAUAAUCAUGAUAAUUGGAGAAUUUUCAGUGAAGCAAAAGAAAUAGAAGGAAAUACUAAAUUCAAUACUGAGUACCAUAUGAUGUAGCAAAACAAAAUAACAAAAAUAUUUUUACGAGAAUAUUAUGGAAGGAAUAGUAUAAUAUCAAAAGAAGUAGGAAGGCUACUUAAGCCAAAUUAUGGAAUGGAAUGCCAGUUAAGAAAAGAAUAUCGUGAAUUACUGUCAUGGUAUCAACUGUGGCAACCAGAGGAACCGGAUAUUGAAGAAGAAGAAUAGAAAUACAGUUCGCAUAAAAGAGUAUUUUAUCACACAAGGGAAUAAAUCUCCAGUGUUGUUAAAAUGUUAAUAACAAUUCGGCUGGGGCAGAAUAAUACUACAUGUCAUGAUGUUCUGAUUGAAGUCUGCGACGUCAAUCAUUCGGGCGUGGAAGACCAUACCAAGCAGCAUCCGGAAUAUCACGAGAAGACAGUACGCGAUAGAGGACAAGGCAAAAAGAAUAAACAACAACUCUACUGUACCCAGGACAAUUAUUGAGGAGCGGAGAGCCGUCCAAGUGUCCAGGCAAUAGAAGAGGAGAAUAGUUGAAGGCACCAGAAGCCUUAAGCACGAAGCAACUUCAGAAGCCUCUGCCGCGACUAUAAAAGGAGGUACCGGGUGAAGCAUUGGAGGCACCACCACCGCAGCACGACACCACACUACGACAUCAACCAGAUCACAACCAAAGCAUCACCAAGAAUCACGAAGACACACUGCACCACCGAAGACCCCCACUCAUACUCCACUCAUGAAGACAUCCACCACCACUCUCUGAGACAAAGAAUUAGCCACCAUACUUUAGAAUCUACCGCUGUAUUACUCCACCUCUGUACUACCACUACUAGAAUAAAGGGAGGCCGUUGGAGCUCGUCCCUCGGUUUGUAAGGUAAUCAAGGUUUGUGCUAAGUGCUUGGGGUUUCCCGAAAGGGAAAGCCGCAUGUAAGCUUGUCCUGUGGAAAUGGAUUAAGCUGUCUUGGCAGCAUCCCUGCCUUCCUUUAAGCUCAUUCGUAUGGGGUGAUGUCUCUACGCUAGGGACCCUAGAGGAGAAACCUCUGCGCGUGUCGUUCUCGUGUUAGCCCUGGUAGCGGCGUUUGAGGAGAACCCUGUGUGCGCAGAGAAGUGUUCCCUUCGGGUGGAACUGUCUGGGGAGACGAUAGAGCCUGAGUCCUGUUUGAGCGUGGCUGGGGACGGUGAGGGUGCAGUCCGGGCUGGCCUGGUUCUGAAGCGAGCCAGCGAGGCAUACGGUGAGUACCGAGUAGGACUGUCACAAGCAUAGCAGCACGUCCUGCUGAAUCUUCGGUCUCGCCAACCCGCAAAGAUCCUGAGAAUAGGCUUAAUUAAGGAAUAUACCUAAUCACGCACCCGCGCGUGCUCGUAUCCCUGAAAGAGACCCCGAAUAGUAGCUCAAUAGUGCGCAAUAGUGAGUGAAUAGUGGCUGAAUAGUGCCGCCACCCAUAGGUGCUCCAUCCACUCCCGGUGAGUGCUCGGGCACUAUUCAUAUUCCCGAAUUUGAAUAGUGAGCUGAAUUUAAAUAGUGCCGCGAAUUUGAAUAGUGUUCAUCGAAUUUGAAUAGUGCUGUGAAUAGUAACUCGAAAUUUGAAUUCCGAAAUUUUUCGUAGUCGCUCGUUCCCUCGCCCUUGAUCGUAUUAUCCCCUCGUCCAAUACUGGUAUCAGAGCCAGGCAUGCGGUGAGUACCGAGUAGGACUGUCACAAGCAUAGCAGCACGACCGGUUGAAUCUUCGGUCUCGCCAACCCGCAAAGAUCCUGAGAAUAGGCUUAAUUAAGGAAUAUACCUAAUCACGCACCCGCGCGUGCUCGUAUCCCUGAAAGCGACCCCGAAUAGUAGCUCAAUAAUGCGCAAUAGUGAGUGAAUAGUGGCUGAAUAGUGCCGCCACCCAUAGGUGCUCCACCCACUCCCGGUGAGUGCUCGGGCACUAUUCAUAUUCCCGAAUUUGAAUAGUGAGCUGAAUUUAAAUAGUGCCGCGAAUUUGAAUAGUGUUCGUCGAAUUUGAAUAGUGCUAUGAAUAGUAACUCGAAAUUUGAAUUCCGAAAUUUUUCGGAGUCGCUCGUUCCCUCGCUUUUGAUCGUCACGAGGAGACAGUGCGCGAUAGAGGACAAGGCAAAAAGAAUAAACAGCAACUCUACUAUACCCAGGACAAUUAUUGAGGAGCGGGGAGCCGUCCAAGUGUCCAGGCAACAGAAGAGGAGAAUAGUUGAAGGCACCAGAAGCCUUAACCACACUACGACAUCAACCAGAUCACAACCAGAGCAUCACCAAGAAUCACGAAGACACACUCCACCACCGAAGACCUCCACCCACACUCCACUCAUGAAGACAUCCACCACCACUCUCUGAGAGAGAUAGAAUUAGCCACCAUAUUUUAGAAUCUACCGCUGUAUUACUCCACCUCUGUACUACCACCACUAGAAUAAAGGGAGGCUGUUAGAGCUCGUCCCUCGGUUUGUAAGGUAAUCAAGGUUUGUGCUAAGUGCUUGGGGUUUCCCGAAAGGGAAAGCCGCAUGUAAGCUUGACC